rnacentral:lncRNA from 10 species
CAUUUCCUGGGACCUAGAACGGGCCUAGCUCAGAGCAGGUGCUCACUAUUGAUGGAAUGCAUGUUGAAAGAAUGCAUGAAUCUCAUCUCCUUUUGUGGGUGAAAAUCUCAUCCUAUUCUCACUCCUGAUUAACUUUCUUUCUUUUUUUUUUUUCAAAACGGAGCCCUGAUCUGUCACCCAGGCUGGAGUGCAAUGGUGCCAUCUCAGCUCGCUGCAACCUCUGCCUUCUGGAUUAAAGCAAUUCUCCUGCCUCAGCCUCCCGGGUAGCUGGGAUUACAGGGGAGUCCUUGAGCAGAAGGAAGCAAGUUGCCUGAGAUUCUUCAAAGCCCGCAGCCCUUUUGGAGGUUAGAUGGUUAUUCUCAGAGCCUUUAUGAUGCAUAAUAAAGACCUAGCUUGGACCAAUAUUAGGAUGAGUUAUCUUGCUAUUAACAUUCUUUUAGGUAGAAGUUGCUGGUCCCAUCUUGCUCACAAUCCUCCAAAGUUUGAAAGUUAUUUUCCAGGAGACUUGGCUUGCACUGAGAGCUGCCCUCCCACCCUCUCUCCAAAUUUCCUCUUGGGGGUAGCCUAACAAGGUGCUGUCACAGACCCUUGUCGGCCACGAUGACCCCACCCAGACCAUCCCUCUGCUGUUUCACUCUUUGAUAGUCUCUGGAGCUCUCUGGGGAGGGGU